rnacentral:tRNA from 1 species
GUUUUUGUAGUUGAUUUACAACGGUGGUUUUUCAGGCCACAGGACUCAGAAGAGUAAAAACU